rnacentral:rRNA from 1 species
AAAGGCCCUGCUUGCAGGGUACUCGAGUGGCGAACGGGUGAGUAACACGUGGGUGAUCUGCCCUGCACUUCGGGAUAAGCCUGGGAAACUGGGUCUAAUACCGGAUAGGAGCCAUUUUUAGUGUGAUGGUUGGAAAGUUUUUUCGGUGUAGGAUGAGCUCGCGGCCUAUCAGCUUGUUGGUGGGGUAAUGGCCUACCAAGGCGGCGACGGGUGGCCGGCCUGAGAGGGUGGACGGCCACAUUGGGACUGAGAUACGGCCCGGACUCCUACGGGAGGCAGCAGUGGGGAAUAUUGCACAAUGGGCGCAAGCCUGAUGCAGCGACGCCGCGUGGGGGAUGACGGCCUUCGGGUUGUAAACUCCUUUCGCUAGGGACGAAGCUUUUUGUGACGGUACCUAGAUAAGAAGCACCGGCUAACUACGUGCCAGCAGCCGCGGUAAUACGUAGGGUGCGAGCGUUGUCCGGAAUUACUGGGCGUAAAGGGCUCGUAGGUGGUUUGUCGCGUCGUCUGUGAAAUUCCGGGGCUUAACUCCGGGCGUGCAGGCGAUACGGGCAUAACUUGAGUACUGUAGGGGUAACUGGAAUUCCUGGUGUAGCGGUGAAAUGCGCAGAUAUCAGGAGGAACACCGAUGGCGAAGGCAGGUUACUGGGCAGUUACUGACGCUGAGGA